AAUAGCCUGUGAUUGAGAAAUGUUUUAUGCUGGGUGUGAUAAUAAAAGAUCACAUGAAAUAACUGAUAUGCUUAUAAAACGUACGAGGUAGAACUGUUUUCAGCUCCUUUAAAACGUUUUUUUUGUUGUUGUUGUUGUUGUUGUUGUUUUAUGGGUAUGUUGUUUCUCUACGUGCAUGCAUCACAGUAAAGACCCGGGUCUUGUGGAAAUUGGAAGAUCACCUAAGAUUCCAUGGGAUUGACGUUACAGACGGUUCUGAGGUACCUCAUGGGCACUGAGAACCGAAGCCAGGUCCUCUGGAAGAGCAGCCAGAACUCUUAACCGCUGAGCCACCGCUCCAGCCGACACACUAUCACCCAGCUCCUUUUAGAUUAGAAAUAAAGGUCAAGGACCUAAACUGGCCAAAAGACUUCUUUUAGAGGGUCUGUCUGAGGAGAUGGCUCAGUGUGUAACAGCACUUGCUGUGGAAGCAAGGAGACCUGAGUCGAAGUCCAAAACAAUCACACAAGAGAAAAGCUAACGUCUACUUACAACUGACAAGGGAGGGGACCAACUUCUCCCUUCUCUGAGGUAAAGAGGGAGAAGAGGAGGAGGCUUUGGCUCCUGAUGGGUCACCAAUGCUGCACGGGCCCAAGAGCUCUCUGGAUUCAAGAAUGAAAGACACAUGUGCUAAUUUUGAUAUGACUCAACUAGCUCAAUGGUUGGGCACUUCUAAAACUCCCGAGGCUACCAAACUCUCCCCUCCAGUAUUCCUGAGUUAACAUUUUAAAAAAUGUAUUCUUCAUCUCUGCUACUCCAGACCCAAUAGGGGAAGUGGGCCCUGGAUUGACUUUCCCAGGUUCUUACAUUCCAGUGGGCCUUUAAAUUUCAUCUUUCUGGGAGCUGGAGAGAUGGCUCAGCGGUUAAGAGCACUGACUGCUCUUCCAGAGGUCCUGAGUUCAAUUCCCAGCAACCACAUGGUGGCUCACAACCAUCUGUAAUGAGAUCUGAUGCCCUCUUCUGGUGUGUCUGAAGACAGCUACAGUGUACUUAUAUUCAAUAAAUAAAAUAAAAAAAUUUCAUCUUUCUGCUUUGUUGUCAUGGAGAUUCUCCGUCCCUCCUUCACCUCUCUCUGUAUGGCUGUAUCACAAUUCUUUCUUAUCAAUUGAAGCCAGCGUGGGGCAGGGACCCUCAGGUCUGGAAUACUGGUAACUGAAA